AGUGAACGCUGGCGGUAGGCCUAACACAUGCAAGUCGAACGGCAGCACAGUAAGAGCUUGCUCUUACGGGUGGCGAGUGGCGGACGGGUGAGGAAUACAUCGGAAUCUACUUUUUCGUGGGGGAUAACGUAGGGAAACUUACGCUAAUACCGCAUACGACCUACGGGUGAAAGCAGGGGAUCUUCGGACCUUGCGCGAUUGAAUGAGCCGAUGUCGGAUUAGCUAGUUGGCGGGGUAAAGGCCCACCAAGGCGACGAUCCGUAGCUGGUCUGAGAGGAUGAUCAGCCACACUGGAACUGAGACACGGUCCAGACUCCUACGGGAGGCAGCAGUGGGGAAUAUUGGACAAUGGGAGCAAGCCUGAUCCAGCCAUACCGCGUGGGUGAAGAAGGCCUUCGGGUUGUAAAGCCCUUUUGUUGGGAAAGAAAAGCAGCAGGUUAAUACCCCGCUGUUCUGACGUUACCCAAAGAAUAAGCACCGGCUAACUUCGUG
rnacentral:rRNA from 1 species